rnacentral:lncRNA from 10 species
CUGGAGAAUAUAACUGAGUCACAACUCUACUUUUAUGAGAUCAGGGAAGAAUAAAAACUUUAUUUACCUACAUGGUUGCCUGCGGUUCCUAAAAUGAAGCAGAGCUCUAAGACUUUCAGAUUUGGUGUCAGAAGUGAGGAUCCCAAGUAAGAGUCCUGUGACCCCCCCUGCCAGGAAUACCAGGCAACAAGGAACCCAGAUGUAGUCUGCUCACAGUACUAACGAAAAGAGUGGAUCUUCUAAUUCAUCUUCCUCAGCAGCACAAACUCUUCCCACCCUAGGAGCAGAAACCAGGCUGAGAUGUAUGGAAGCCUCCAGUACUAAGCUACCCAGACAGAAAGCAACAUCCAGGUCAAAGCAUCACUGUCCGACCACAUGACCCUUCUACACCUGGGCCCCGAAGGCACUGCUAGGAGUCAACAGCUCCACCUGGUGACCAGAGGCUGGCCUUCAUCAAAGGCUCAGGCACUGCAGCAGUUGAGAAUUUCUCUUUAUGGGUAUUUCCUCAGGCAUAAAUACAGUAACUAAAACAUAUGUUUUCAUUGUCUGCUACUUAUGGAAUAAACAUUAAUGUUUUGUGUUUUCAAAGCUAUUUAAGUCAAAAAAAUCCUUUAAUAAUGUUUAUGGAGAACUGAAAAAUUGUUACUGGAGGUCUCACAAAAAAAAUCACAGUGAAAAAACAAAUAAUUCUGUGCAAAAGUCUGUUUAUUAAACCUAUAUUCAUCUUACAACAAAAUCAGAAGUUAAUAACUAAGGUGUCACUGAUUUCAAGACUAUUUCCAUCAAACUUUAAAGUUUGCUCAUUUUUCAUUUAAUUAAUAAUUUAAUACCCACCCCCCUACCAACACGACCCAUGGGGAGACAAUAAGUGUAAAGCUCUGACAAUAUAAAAUGCUGUGGAAAAUAAUCCUGUCAGUCAUAUUGAUAGCUAGAAUGAUUUGCCAGUUUUUAUAGCCAUCAUAACAGCAGCCUGUGAUUUGAAAUCUCAUAAAACAGGAAGCUGUGUGCUUAAAGACAUGCCUGGAAUUCCUGAUGUGAUGGGAGACAAUUGUUGUGAUCUGUUGCUGCCACCAGCAGGCCAUUCUCACAAAAUGGUAUUUUCCCCUUUGCUUUUUGUUUCCAACUUACCUACUGAUAUUUCUUGACCACCACAUUCUUUAAUCAGGAUAAAUAAUUAGAUAAAAAAACAAAUCUUUUUCAUGGGUAUCCUCAGUAACAAUCACUUCUUUAAAAUCUACCAUAUAUAACCUUUUUAAAAUUUAUUUAACAAACAGGCCUAAUCUUUCUGCUUAUCUUUUAUUCCUUUUUUUUUUCAUAAGCUCCUAAAUCCUUGCAUUUUUUAAAUCAGGUUCCUGGUAAAUAUAUCUUAAUAUGAGAACAAGUGAUCCUGGCAUAAAAGGUAGAAGCCCACAGUUCAUCACACUGAUGACUGCUAUAAGAUAUUCCUUAAAUUUUCAUUUAGCUGGCGAAUUUAAGGCUGGUGCAUACAAACAAGUUCUAUAGCCACAUCAACCUGGGAUCAGAUCCAGCUUCUUAGCAUUGUGCUCUUGGGAAGCAUUUAACCUUUCUAGGCAUCAGUAUCCUCCCUGUAAAAUGAGGAUAAUAAUAAUACCCAUGUCUUAGGAUUGACAAGAGGAAUAAAUGAAAUAAUGCAUAUAAAGCAUUUAGCAAAAUGUCUGGCACAUAGUAAGCCAUCAAUGAAUGACUCAUUAUUAUUAUUAAAGUGUAAAAAUUAAGACUUCCAUACAAUCAGAAGCCAAAUCAAUGGGAGAGUUCUGACUAGAACCUCCAAAUCUGCUGAUUCCAAGCCAAGGGCUUUGAACAUCGUAUUGCAAUGAUGCUUUCUAUUUAUCUAAUUAAGAUGAAGACUCUGGUUCUUUUGGGAUAGGCCAAGAUUGCUGAAAACAUCACUUUUCAAAUAUGAAGUCCUUUUUAAGCCCAGAAUUAGACAAACCAUUAGGUUCCACUGGACGUCCCUCCUACAUCUGAAAACAGCUUUCUCCCCCUUGGAUGACAGAAGUGGUAUUUUUAUGGUAAUAUUUCUCAUAAGAAGCAAGUACAUGAGAUUCCUCUUUAAGCUCUGAAAUUUCUUUCUUUUGCAGAGCUUCAGAUAAAUAAAGCAGCUUUCCAUUAUGUGUUUCUGUCUAGCAAGGCUAUUCAAUAUGUUCAUGGUGGAGCAUAGGCAUGAGGGGCGCUCUCCAGCACAGUUAGUGGAAACAAUUUCUAGUCUAGUUCAAAGCAGUAACUAAAGCCAGGUUCCUUUGAUGUCUUACUGAGAAAGCUGCCCUGCAGCAUAAGACAGGGCAGUGUGAAUUCCCGUCUAGCCUUGUGGCUGAAGUUUUGUGGAUCAGGAGCUGGGGAAGACCAGAAGUGCCAAAGGUCUACUUUGCUACAGAGAAAAUAAGUGAAGCGACUGUGUCUCAAUGGUAAGUCUUGCAUAGGUACCUUUAAAAUAUUGUCCUAUAAUUAGAUUUUUAUCUCCCUUUCAACUUGAAUGAGGAAUCAUUCUGGACUUGCUGUCUCAUCAAAUGUUAAAUUAUAUACUAAUUAUUCCUAUGUCUGCAAUUCUUUCUAAACAAGGAUUUCCAAAAACUUUUCCACCCUUUGGAGGUUAACUUACUGCAUGGAAACUAAAUACUGGAGGUUACUGAGUACCAAGAUUAGAGGGGGAAUUUACAGUGUUUGCUUCCCAAAUUAGCUUUAUUAAAGGGACUAGAAAGUUUUAUAAAGGGUAUGGAUUGUUAGCAAGUGAUAGAAAAAUUUAUUGAUCUCAAUCCCAUCUCAAUACACAGGCACCAGAGCCUUCUUUAUUGCCCGUUAUGUUUUUUAAGGCUCUAGUUCUGCACAAUCAAUGGUGGUUCACAGCGUGUGGGAAACAAAUGGACAGCAAUGCUCUUUGGCAUUUGGUCAACCCUCUGAAUCAUGUAGCUCUUUCCCAUCUUUUAAGGGUGUAACCCCUUCUAAGAAUUUUAUUGCCAAAGACAAUAUGACAAUAUAUCUAACUGAUCUCAAAGCCACUUUUUAGUGCCUCCACUACAGAGAAAGUGUUUGUACUCAUCCAGUGGUCUUUUCCUGUCCCACAUUUCCCUUUGUUUCCAUAGAAAGGUUGGACACCGCUGACCAUUCUUCAAGUCC